rnacentral:rRNA from 1 species
GUUGAAUUUCGGGAUUAAUUUAUUGGUCGUGCAAUCGUACGUACUGGUAUUAUUGAUUCCUACCUUCUGACGAACCAUGAUGUCAUUAAUUUGGUGUCAUGGGGAAUCAGGACUGUUACUUUGAAAAAAUUAGAGUGUUUAAAGCAGGCUCACGCUUGAAUACAUUAGCAUGGAAUAACGAAAUAGGACGUUUGAUUCUAUUUUGUUGGUUUCUAGGAUCGACGUAAUGAUUAAUAGGG